UAGGAUCUUGAAAUAUGAGACAAUCUUAAUAGAACAGGAUGACCUUGUGUUAGUCACAGACAGUUGCUUGAAUCCAGGUGCAUUUCUGUGGCGGAGAGAGUGGGGUGGCCCCUGGCAAUCCAGAACAUGACUGCCUUGAUAUUACUGAAUUUCAGACUAAAGUGCGAAUGAACUUAAGAGACGUACCGUUGCAUGCGAGAACUCGGUUGUUUAUCGACGGGUCCUCCCGGCUGAUUGAGGGUAAAAAAUACAAUGAAUAUACUGUAGUAGACGGGAUAGAGGGAAGCAUUAUCGAGGCUGAAAGACUGCCUAACGGCUGGUCAGAGUUCAAUGAUAAGUUUUUAAAGAACUAUAUUGUGGCGCUCGGCUCUUCUUUGUCUAUUCUUAGGAAUAAAGGCCUGUUGGUACAGACACCGCCACUCGAGUUUGCAGUACAUCGAAUACAACCGGGUGAUUGGGUCCUGAUUAAGACCUGGAAAGAUACCAAACUGCACCCGAGCUGGGAGGGACCAUUCCUAACCCUCCUAACUAGUGAAACAGCUAUCCGGACUGCUGAGAAGGGUGGAGUCAUCACACUCGCGUUAAAGGUCCUGUGAACGCCCCAUUGGCGGAGUGGCAUGCUCAUCCUACAGACAACCCUCUGAAAGUUAAGCUGAGAAAGAAAGAAUGAACUAAGACAAAAGACUCUUUUAACGUUUGCUGAUAUAUAUAUAUAUAUAUAUAUAUAUACAUAUUGUUAU